UACGAAGGGGGCUAGCGUUGCUCGGAAUCACUGGGCGUAAAGCGCACGUAGGCGGAUUGCUAAGUCAGGGGUGAAAUCCUGGAGCUCAACUCCAGAACUGCCUUUGAUACUGGCGAUCUCGAGUCCGGGAGAGGUGAGUGGAACUGCGAGUGUAGAGGUGAAAUUCGUAGAUAUUCGCAAGAACACCAGUGGCGAAGGCGCUCACUGGCCCGGUACUGACGCUGAGGUGCGAAAGCGUGGGGAGCAAACAGG
rnacentral:rRNA from 1 species